rnacentral:rRNA from 1 species
GUAAACGAUGUCGACUUGGAGGUUGUGCCCUUGAGGCGUGGCUUCCGGAGCUAACGCGUUAAGUCGACCGCCUGGGGAGUACGGCCGCAAGGUUAAAACUCAAAUGAAUUGACGGGGGCCCGCACAAGCGGUGGAGCAUGUGGUUUAAUUCGAUGCAACGCGAAGAACCUUACCUGGUCUUGACAUCCACGGAAGUUUUCAGAGAUGAGAAUGUGCCUUCGGGAACCGUGAGACAGGUGCUGCAUGGCUGUCGUCAGCUCGUGUUGUGAAAUGUUGGGUUAAGUCCCGCAACGAGCGCAACCCUUAUCCUUUGUUGCCAGCGGUCCGGCCGGGAACUCAAAGGAGACUGCCAGUGAUAAACUGGAGGAAGGUGGGGAUGACGUCAAGUCAUCAUGGCCCUUACGACCAGGGCUACACACGUGCUACAAUGGCGCAUACAAAGAGAAGCGACCUCGCGAGAGCAAGCGGACCUCAUAAAGUGCGUCGUAGUCCGGAUUGGAGUCUGCAACUCGACUCCAUGAAGUCGGAAUCGCUAGUAAUCGUGGAUCAGAAUGCCACGGUGAAUACGUUCCCGGGCCUUGUACACACCGCCCGUCACACCAUGGGAGUGGGUUGCAAAAGAAGUAGGUAGCUUAACCUUCGGGAGGGCGCCUACCACUUUGUGAUUCAUGACUGGGGUG